rnacentral:tRNA from 1 species
AUUAACGUAGCAGAACCUGGCCAUGCAAAAGACCUAAACCCUUUUAAUAGGGGCUCAAAUCCCCUCGUUAACC